UUCUGAUGAACCUCCUCACAGUGUUCACUCUGGUAACUCCACUUUUGCCUUCAUGACAACUUCAGGACAUCCUAACAGGGGAAAUCAUUGGGCGGGGUAUUGAGAAGGGGGGGUUAUACUACAUGGAGAUGACCACUGCUGGCAAUCGUCGCAUAAGUGAGGUGCAUCAUAUUCAGAAAAAAACUUCCACCGAUGAAGAACAGAUCUGGUUAUGGCAUAAAAGAUUGGGACAUCCAUCAUUUGGGUAUCUCCAAACUCUCUUCCCCUUACUGUUUCAGCAUAAUAGACCAUCAGACUUUAAAUGCAACACUUGCAUUUUAGGCAAGAGUCAUCGUGUAACCUUUCCGUUGAGCUCGAAUAAAAGUAUUUGCCCUUUUGAUCUUGUUCACUCUGAUGUCUGGGGACCUUGUCCGGCAACGCCCUCUGGAAUGAAAUGGUUUGUUUUAUUUGUCGAUGAUUGCACCCGGAUGAGUUGGAUCUACUUGCUGCGAAAUAAAAGUGAUGUUUUCCCAGUUUUUCAAACUUUUCAUGCCAUGAUCCAAACUCAAUUCCAAACACCUAUUAAAGUCCUUCGUUCCGAUAAUGGUGGAGAAUAUGUGAACCAUCCCUUUCACCAGUAUCUAGCUACCCAUGGCAUUAUUCAUCAGACCACAUGUCCUCAAACUCCUCAACAAAAUGGUGUGGCAGAAAGAAAGAACCGCCACAUUCUAGAAGUUGCUCGCUCCAUGUUAAUCGGAGCUCAUAUGCCAGAAUCUUUUUGGGGUGAUGCCAUCCUAACUACUGCUUACCUCAUAAAUAGACUCCCUACACAAGCCCUUCAGUCUACAGCUAAGGAAACCAGUCCACCACCACAAACACCAAUUCAAGCUCUUGCCAGUCAUUUACCUUUA
rnacentral:lncRNA from 1 species